rnacentral:rRNA from 1 species
AGAACGAACGCUGGCGGCAUGCCUAAUACAUGCAAGUCGAACGAAGGCUUCGGCCUUAGUGGCGCACGGGUGCGUAACGCGUGGGAAUCUGCCCCCUUGGUUCGGAAUAACAGUUGGAAACGACUGCUAAUACCGGAUGAUGACGAAAGUCCAAAGAUUUAUCGCCAAGGGAUGAGCCCGCGUAGGAUUAGCUAGUUGGUGAGGUAAAGGCUCACCAAGGCGACGAUCCUUAGCUGGUCUGAGAGGAUGAUCAGCCACACUGGGACUGAGACACGGCCCAGACUCCUACGGGAGGCAGCAGUAGGGAAUAUUGGACAAGUGGGCGAAAGCCUGAUCCAGCAAUGCCGCGUGAGUGAUGAAGGCUUAGGGUGUAAAGCUCUUUACCCGAGAUGAUAAUGACAGUAUCGGAGAAUACGCCCGGACUACGUCCGUGCCAGCCAGCCGC